GAGGAUAUAGUUCAAAUAGUAGGACACAUGCUUAGCGUGCAUGAUGUCCUGGGUUCAAUACCCAGUACUUCCU
rnacentral:tRNA from 1 species